AACGAACGCUGGCGGCAGGCUUAACACAUGCAAGUCGAACGCCCCGCAAGGGGAGUGGCAGACGGGUGAGUAACGCGUGGGAAUCUACCUAGUUCUACGGAACAACAGAGGGAAACUUCUGCUAAUACCGUAUACGCCCUAAGGGGGAAAGAUUUAUCGGAAUUAGAUGAGCCCGCGUAAGAUUAGCUAGUUGGUGGGGUAAUGGCCUACCAAGGCGACGAUCUUUAGCUGGUCUGAGAGGAUGAUCAGCUACACUGGGACUGAGACACGGCCCAGACUCCUACGGGAGGCAGCAGUGGGGAAUAUUGGACAAUGGGCGCAAGCCUGAUCCAGCCAUGCCGCGUGAGUGAUGAAGGCCCUAGGGUUGUAAAGCUCUUUCAGUGGGGACGAUAAUGACGGUACCCACAGAAGAAGCCCCGGCUAACUUCGUGCCAGCCGCCGCGGUAAGAC
rnacentral:rRNA from 1 species